GGGUGUAUUUCCAGUGCGGAUUAAGGCCAGGGAUUAGCGUUAAUCCCUGUGCUAAUCCCAGCAGUGGAAAUCCCACCGGGAUUAAGCAGGACUAGCCGGGGAUUAAGAAAUUCCUCAGGACACCGUGUUCUCUAUUCAGAGGACUAGCAGGAGUUAGCAAGAGAUUAGGAAAGAACAUAAACUGAACUUGAUGUCCAUGCAUUUACCUGGCAACUUGUGACAAAAAAGUUAUUACCUGGCCCCACCCAGAUAGUAUUUCCGUAUCUGGAUUAGCAUUCAUGGCGUCAUAUCUUAUUUU
rnacentral:lncRNA from 1 species